rnacentral:rRNA from 1 species
AAUGAACGCUGGCGGCAGGCCUAACACAUGCAAGUCGAACGGAUCCUUCGGGAUUAGUGGCGGACGGGUGAGUAACGCGUGGGAACAUACCCUUUGGUACGGAAUAGCCUCGGGAAACUGGGAGUAAUACCGUAUGUGGUCGAGAGACGAAAGAUUUAUCGCCAAAGGAUUGGCCCGCGUUGGCUUAGGUAGUUGGUGGGGGUAUGGCCUACCAAGCCGACGAUCCAUAGCUGGUUGUGGAGGAUGAUCAGCCACACUGGGACUGAGACACGGCCCAGACUCCUACGGGAGGGAGCAGUGGGGAAUCUUAGACAAUGGGGGAAACCCUGAUCUAGCCAUGCCGCGUGAUCGAUGAAGGCCUUAGGGUUGUAAAGAUCUUUCAGGUGGGAAGAUAAUGACUGUACCACCAGAAGAAGCCCCGGCUAACUCCGUGCCAGCCGCCGCAGUAA